CAAUAUUCUAAAAUAGAUCUAACUAAGCAACAAUACACUAACCUUGUUGAAUUAAUGGAGAAGUACUUGCAAUUCCUAGUAACAAAACCAAGAAGUUUAGAUGCCUUUAUUGAAAUAGUGUUUAUGUGGUCACAGAAAGUAAGUUUCUCAUCGAAAAUAACACCCAAA
rnacentral:lncRNA from 1 species